GAGUCACAGUGUCCCUCAGGGGUCUGGACCCCCAAGAUGUCCCCGGGGGGGUGUCCCCAUUCCCUCUGUGACCGCAGAUAAAUCUCUGAACAUAUUUCCUCAUCUGUAAAGCAGGGGCGGUAAUGCAUUGUCUCGCCAGCAGAGGCGCUGGGGAGUGGAACACUCCAGCACCUGGACUGGAGGCUGUCAGAACACAUUGGCCCCUGUGACUGCAUCUGUGGCCCCAACAAGUGGCCGGGGCCAGGCGCCUGGCGUGGGCACUGCCCAUGGACCAUGGCCUGCUCUAGGCCUUUGCCUCAGUGCUAUUCACGGUACUGUUAACCAGUAAAACACCCUUGUCUGGUUGGUAAGUUGCCUUGAGCCCCUCCCACUGCCUGGCUGCCCGCCUGGAACUGCUCCCCACUUUCCCCAAAUUCAGCAACUAAAAGGCUAACAUCUGGUGCAGCAGGGAGCCUCCAGGAUGCUGUGAAAUAGUUCAACUAUGCAUCUCAGUUUCUCCUCUAGCCAAAUCAAUAGGGAAGGAGAAGUCCUGAGGCGUGAAGGAGGGGCCACCAGGGAAAAAACGAAGGGCCCCUAGGGAAUGAAUGAGAGGUCCUGUAGUACUUUAACGUCUUUGCCACUAUGUGUCUGGAAGUGUACCAAGGCAGAGGCCAUUGAAAAUCCUCCCGGUCAACAGAAGGCAACAAACCCACACCACUGGCAGAGCACCUACUAGGUGGUGGAGCACCUACUAGGUGGUGAACCUUGCACUGCCUGCCAGGGGAACAUGGAAGAAGCCAUCCAGGGAGCUCACGUCCCAGAGCCAUGCAGGCAGAGGAGACUGGACCAUAUUGUCAGAUGGUACCCGGAAGAAUGGAAAGCAGCGUCUCAAAGAGACAUCUCUACACCACGCUCAGAGCACCGUGAUUCACAGUGGCUGAAAGGCAGAAACGAGUCAAGUGUCCAACGAUGGAUGCACGGGGAGAACAAAACGUGACCGAGCCAUACGAUAGAGUAUCACGCAGCCCUAAAAAAGAAGGAAGUUCCAACACACGCUGCGACGUGGAUGAACGUUGAGGACAUUAUGCGAAGUGAAAUGAACCCGUCACAAAAGGACACACACUGCAUGACUUCACUCGCAUGAGGUCCCUAGAGUCAUCAAACUCAGAGACGGAAAGCAGAAUGGUGGCUGCAGGCGCCGCGGUGGCGGGGGGCGGCGGGGGAGAAGCCUGGGGAGAUCGUGUUUAAUGUGGACAGGGUUUCAGUUUGGGGAGAUGGAAAAGUUCCGGAGGUGGAUGGUGGGGACGGUUACUUAUGCCUCUCCACCUCACACCAAUGGUUAAAAUGGCAAAUAUUAUGUUAUGUAGAUUUUAAAAAGGAAAUGGAAAAUAAAAAGCACCUCCUCACGUGAGCACAUUGUUUGGUCCCUC